ensembl:snoRNA
GUGACAUGAUGAACGUGUUUAUCCAUUCUCUGAGUGCUGCCGGCUCUGUCUCUCUGCGGCUUCUGCUGUCCGUUCUGGGCUGCAGGGUUACGGUUGCCUGUUUAUCCUCUGCUGGUUCAGUGUUCUACUGGAGCAGUGGUGGGAUGUUCAGAACAGCCGGUGUGGGGAGAUCAGACCAGCGCCAACAAAGACGAGCGGACUGUUCUGAUCAC